rnacentral:rRNA from 1 species
UACGUAGGGAGCGAGCGUUGUCCGGAAUCACUGGGUGUAAAGGGUGCGCAGGCGGGAACGCAAGUUGGAUGUGAAAUGUACGGGCUUAACCCGUGAACUGCAUCCAAAACUGCGAUUCUUGAGUGGAGCAGAGGUAGGCGGAAUUCCUAGUGUAGCGGUGAAAUGCGUAGAUAUUAGGAGGAACACCAGUGGCGAAGGCGGCCUACUGGGCUCUAACUGACGCUGAGGCACGAAAGCAUGGGUAG